rnacentral:lncRNA from 1 species
AUUUAAUGAAGACCUAAAAAAUGAUAAAUGCAGUUUUAAAAUAUUUGUUGUCAUCAUUAAGAAAACAUUAGGCAUGCUGGGCGCAGUGGCUCACGCCUGUAAUCCCAGCACUUUGGGAGGCCGAGGGGGGCGGAUCAUGAGAUCAGGAGAUCGAGACCAUCCUGGCUAACGUGGUGAAACCCCGUCUCUACUAAAAAUACAAAAAAUUAGCCGGGCAUGAUGGUGGGCAUCUGUAGUCCCAGCUACUCGGGAGGCUGAGGCAGGAGAAUGGCGUGAACCUGGAGGGGCGGAGGUUGCAGUGAACCGAGAUCGCGCCACUGCACUCUAGCCUGGGCGACAGA